AUCAGUUUGUUCCCCAAUAGAUAUGGGCUAAUGGGUCUAUUGCUGUACUAGCAUAAGCUCUGUAUUUCUUAGAAUCCGGGAGGGAGGAGCUUCAAGUUUCUGCGGCUCUUCGGAAUGUUGGUUGGACUUACAACUGAGAGACUAUGGCCAAUGAGACCAUGCACGAGGUUCAGUACGACAACUAUGGCGGCGGAACUUCUGGUUUAAAGGGACAUGUGGAACUUAAACAAGCUCGAUUUCUCUGCUCUAGAAUUUUCUGGAAGAAACUAUCUGAAGUGGGUUCAAGACAUGAAGUUCCAUCUGACUGCAAAGGGCAUCAGAGCCACCAUCGAGGCACCUACCACCGACAAACCUGUUGACAAAGCUUAGAAGGCUUCUACAAUGAUCUUCAUUCGAAGGCACAUCCAUGAUGCACUGCAGACUGAGUAUCUCGCUGAGGAGGACCAACGCACCCUUUGGCUUGCUCUGGCCGACCGUUUUGAUCGCCAGAAAGACAUACUGAAGUAAGACACGACUAGCAACAUCUUCACUUCCAGGACUUUAAGUAUGUGAAUGAAUACAACUCUGAAGUUUGUAGAAUCCGUUCACUGUUGAAAUUCUGCAAAGUGGAACUAACCGAAUCAGAUCUUCUGGAGAAUACUUAUUCCACCUUCCAUGCCACCAAUAUUGUCCUGCAGCAAAAAUAUAGGGCACAUAAAUUCACCAAGUUUUUGGAUUUGAUCUCUGUUUUACUUAUCGCUGAAAAGCAGACCAAGCUUUUGAUGAAGAAUCAUCAAGCUCGAUCAAUUGGCUCGAACGCCUAAGCUGAAGCGCAUGCGACCUAUUCUAGUAGCCAUAAAUGACGAAAGAAUCAUCGUAGCUGUGGCAAUGGGUGGCAAACCCAACCACAAGCCCAAGGUCAACAAAGUGCCACAUCUAAGGGAAGAAAUGUAACCCAGCAGCGUCAACCACUCUCCCCUAAGGCCAUAAACUUCAAGAAUAAGGGCAAAGCUCCCGUUCAGCCUGCUUCUGCUGAACUGGACAUGUGCUAUCAUUGUGGAUCAAAUGAUCAUUGGUCACUAUUAUGUCAAGCUUCCCCUGAGGCUAUUGCCAAGUAUCAUUCCAGUUAUGAGUCUAACUUUGCACAUGUGGAUCAUCCGGAAGAUGCAACUACAUCAAUGGACAUUUCGGAUUUUCAGGAGGCGUCAACGCUUAUGGAUGAAUAAAUUAGACAUGUUUUUAGGGUGUUUACCCCUAAAGGCCGAACCCAAUAGGAGUGGCUGGCCAUACCCCCCCUAUUUUUCUAGAUUUAUGGUUUAAUUUUGAACAAUUUUUCUAAGUAUUUGGAAUAAUUUGUUUGGUUUUGGUUUGUUUUGAAUUAGGGAUUGUUAUUGGAAUGGAUAUUAUUUUCUCGAAUUGGUUAAUUGAAUGAAUGGACUUAUA